AGGUUUCGAUGUGCUUUGCUGUAGGUGCCGCGAUGUCGUCAGCCGACCUGGGAGGGUAAGGAUUACAUAGCAACAGCCGGAUUGAACCUUUUUAGGGUCCAGGUGAGCAGGGCAAAGAAAAGAUGGCCGCUUAAUGAAUCAGAGUUCUGCCUGCUGUUGCCUAAAUCUUCGGGUGGCUGCUGCCUUGGCAUUGCAAAGGUGAAUU